rnacentral:rRNA from 3 species
GACCUCAAAUCAGGUAGGACUACCCG